UACGUAGGGCGCAAGCGUUGUCCGGAAUUAUUGGGCGUAAAGAGCUCGUAGGCGGCUCGGUAAGUCGGGUGUGAAACCCCCAGGCUCAACCUGGGGACGCCACCCGAUACUGCUGUGGCUAGAGUCCAGUAGGGGAGUGUGGAAUUCCCGGUGUAGCGGUGAAAUGCGCAGAUAUCGGGGAGGAACACCAGCGGCGAAGGCGGCACUCUGGGCUGGAACUGACGCUGAGGAGCGAAAGCGUGGGUAGCAAACAGG
rnacentral:rRNA from 1 species